AGUGAACGCUGGCGGUAGGCCUAACACAUGCAAGUCGAACGGCAGCACAGUAAGAGCUUGCUCUUACGGGUGGCGAGUGGCGGACGGGUGAGGAAUACAUCGGAAUCUACUUUUUCGUGGGGGAUAACGUAGGGAAACUUACGCUAAUACCGCACACGACCUACGGGUGAAAGCAGGGGAUCUUCGGACCUUGCGCGAUUGAAUGAGCCGAUGUCGGAUUAGCUAGUUGGCGGGGUAAAGGCCCACCAAGGCGACGAUCCGUAGCUGGUCUGAGAGGAUGAUCAGCCCCACUGGAACUGAGACACGGUCCAGACUCCUACGGGAGGCAGCAGUGGGGAAUAUUGGACAAUGGGCGCAAGCCUGAUCCAGCCAUACCGCGUGGGUGAAGAAGGCCUUCGGGUUGUAAAGCCCUUUUGUUGGGAAAGAAAAGCAGCAGGUUAAUACCCCGCUGUUCUGACGGUACCCAAAGAAUAAGCACCGGCUAACUUCGUG
rnacentral:rRNA from 1 species